UCCGGUCAUAUUACGUUGAAACACCGGUUCCCAUACAACCACCGAAGUUAAGCAACAUCAAGCCCGGUCAGUACCUAGAUGGGUGACUGCUUGGGAAUACCGGCACUGUA